rnacentral:rRNA from 1 species
UACGGAAGGCAGCAGUGGGGAAUAUUGCACAAUGGGCGCAAGCCUGAUGCAGCCAUGCCGCGUGUAUGAAGAAGGCCUUCGGGUUGUAAAGUACUUUCAGCGGGGAGGAAGGCGAUGUGGUUAAUAACCGCGUCGAUUGACGUUACCCGCAGAAGAAGCACCGGCUAACUCCGUGCCAGCAGCCGCGGUAAUACGGAGGGUGCAAGCGUUAAUCGGAAUUACUGGGCGUAAAGCGCACGCAGGCGGUCUGUUUAAGUCAGAUGUGAAAUCCCCGGGCUUAACCUGGGAACUGCAUUUUGAAACUGGCAGGCUUGAGUCUCGUAGAGGGGGUAGAAUUCCAGGUGUAGCGGUGAAAUGCGUAGAGAUCUGGAGGGAAUACCGGUGGCGAAGGCGGCCCCUGGGACGAAGACUGACGCUCAGGGUGCGAAAGCGUGGGGAGCAAACAGGAUUAGAUACC